rnacentral:rRNA from 1 species
CGGCAACAGCUCAGAUUUGAAACCUGGCCCCCCGGCCCGGAUUGUAAUCUGUAGAAGGUGCCUCGGGUGCGAUUCCGGUCCAAGUUCCUUGGAACAGGGCGUCACAGAGGGUGAGAAUCCCGUACGUGCCCGGACGUCAAUCCCGUGCGAGGCCCUUUCGAC